UGAUGUUUGUGCAAUUCAUGCCAUCCCCCAAAGCCUGACCGUGCAGAACCCCUGAAGCUCUCCUUGGAGGAGGAACCAUCACCACCCUCGGAAAGGCCACCUUGACUUGGAGAAGAUGACCAAGGCUCAUCAGUGGAUGUGUCCUGUCUUGUGGAAACCCUCACAGUACUUCUCUGGGAGCUCGAGGACGGCCUGGUGCCUGCCCUGCAGCAGGGGAACACCCCCUAUGUCCAUGGGGUUUUGUAUUUGUACCAAGAUUUGGCCAGUACCCAGAAGGCUCUGGAGCUGCUGGGUAAAAGAUCAUGACUCACCUUCUUCUCAUUCCCUAAGAAACAAUAUUGAAGUUAGACCAGUUAAUUACUCUGUAAUGGACUGAACAGUUGGA